rnacentral:rRNA from 1 species
GAUGAACGCUGGCGGCGUGCCUAAUACAUGCAAGUCGAGCGAACAGACGAGGUGCUUGCUCCUCUGACGUUAGCGGCGGACGGGUGAGUAACACGUGGAUAACCUACCUAUAAGACUGGGAUAACUUCGGGAAACCGGAGCUAAUACCGGAUAAUAUAUUGAACCGCAUGGUUCAAUAGUGAAAGACGGUUUUGCUGUCACUUAUAGAUGGAUCCGCGCCGCAUUAGCUAGUUGGUAAGGUAACGGCUUACCAAGGCAACGAUGCGUAGCCGACCUGAGAGGGGGGUGGGCCACACUAGAAGUGAGACACGGUACAGACACCUACGGGAGGGAGCAGUAGGGAGUCUGCGGUAAUGGUCGAAAGCCUGACAGAGCAACGCAGCGGGAGUGAUGAAGGUCUUCGGAUCGUAAAACCCUGUUAAUAGGAAAGAACAACUGUGUAAGGAACAAUGCACGGCUUGAAGGUACCUAAUCAGAAAGCAACGGCUAACUACGUC